rnacentral:rRNA from 1 species
UAGGGAAUCUUCCGCAAUGGGCGAAAGCCUGACGGAGCAACGCCGCGUGAGUGAUGAAGGUCUUCGGAUCGUAAAACUCUGUUAUUAGGGAAGAACAAAUGUGUAAGUAACUAUGCACGUCUUGACGGUACCUAAUCAGAAAGCCACGGCUAACUACGUGCCAGCAGCCGCGGUAAUACGUAGGUGGCAAGCGUUAUCCGGAAUUAUUGGGCGUAAAGCGCGCGUAGGCGGUUUUUUAAGUCUGAUGUGAAAGCCAACGGCUCAACCGUGGAAGGUCAAUGGAAACUGGAAAAGUAGAGUGCAAAAGAGGAAAGGGGAAUUCCAUGUGGAGCGGUGAAAUGCGCAGAGAUAUGGAGGAACACCAGGCGCGAAGGCGACUUUCUGGUCUGUAACUGACGCAGAUGUGCGAAAGCGGGGGGAUCAAACAGG